CUGGCAUAGCGUCUGGGGUGGGCUCUUCCGGGCGGCGCCUGGCGUAGCGUCUGGGGUGGGCUGUUCCACGCGGGCGUCUGACGUAGCAUCUGUGGUGGGCUAUUCCACGCGGGCGCCUGGCUUACAGUCUGUGGUGGGCUGUUCGGGGCGGCGCCUGGCGUAGCGUCUGUGGUGGGCUCUUCCGGGCGGCGCCUGGCAUAGCGUCUGUGGUGGGCUCUUCCGGUCGGCGCCUGACGUAGCGUCUGUGGUGGGCUCUUCCGGGCGGCGCCUGGCGUAGCGUCUGUGGUGGGCUCUUCCGGUCGGCGCCUGACGUAGCGUCUGUGGUGGGCUCUUUCGGGCGGCGCCUGGCGUAGCGUCUGUGGUGGGCUCUUCUGGUCGGCGCCUGACGUAGCGUCUGUCGUGGGCUGUUCGGGGCGGGUGCCUGAUGUAGCGUCUGUGGUGGACUUUCCGGGUGGUGACUGAUGUAGUCGCAGGGUCCUCAAAGCCGACGGAAGGAGGCACAGGGAGGGGGAGUCCCAGACGCCGGUGAGAGAUUCGGCCACCGCUGCUGGCUCGGGAGGCAGGAGGAGCCCCAAGCUGGGGAAAGGGCAGCUUUGAGAAGUUGAAAAGGGCUGGAAACAGAUUCUCCCCGAAGCUUCUGGAAGGACCCAGCCCCGAGACACUGUGACUUCAGCCUGGGGAGCCCUGGGCCAGACCUCCGACCCCUAGAGCUGUAGAGCAGGGUGGUCCCCAACAUUUUUGGCAUCAACGACCAGUUUGGUGGAAAAUUUUUCCACGGAUGGAGUUGGCAGAGGGAUGGUUCCGGGAUGAAACGGCUCCACCUCAGAUCAUCAGGCAUUGGAUUUUCAUAAGGAGGUGGAACCUGGGUCCCUUGCAUUCGCAAUUCACAAUGGGGUUCUCUCCCCUGUGAGACUCCAGUGCUGCAGCUGAUCUGCCGGGAGGCGGGGCUCAGGCUCUAAUGCUUGCGGCACCGCCACUCACCUCCUGCUGUACGCUGGCUCCCAACACGCCACGGACCUGCACUGGUCUUUGGCCGGGGUUGGGGACCCCUGCUGUUGGGGACAGACUCCUGCUGUCUUCAGCCCCCGAGCUUGUGGGCGUUCAUUUCAGCAGGCUCAGGAAGCUCACACACGCUCAGGUGUGUCCAGUCCCAAGACCCCAGUCUCAACCACCGCCCCCCCACCCCGACCCGGGGCUAGACUGUGUAACACGCCAUCCGCACAUGGGCUGUGGGGCUCAGCAUGUCUGCGGGAAGGUGCCAGCUGCACGCCGGACCCCCCUCCGCUGUCUUCAAGGGCCCAAGGCCUUCUUGCUGGACCUGUGACCCGGCAGGGCUGACUCGCUGUCUCUGUCUGGUGGACGCUUGAUUCCCAGGAUCACAGGCACAUGUGUUCCCGAGGAACCGCAGCCUCACUCCAACUAGGACUCUCCCUCCGUGUGCCUCCUUCUUUCGGGUUGAGGACCCCGUGGCGACAUCACUUCCCACCCUGGACAGCCCAGAGUGCUGCCUCCCUGCAGCCUCUGCCCUCCUCGGAGCCCCUGCAGCCCCAUCGCUGCCCGGACCCUGGCCCUCCGUGGCUCGCAGAGCCGCUGCCCGUGCGUUUGUCCCUCACCUCGGUGGCCUCUGCACAUCAUAACUCUCCUGACGGAACCCACUGUAGAGUGACCUGGGCUGCCCAGACCCCCGUACCCUCCCAUGUGCUGUCAGGGUGCGCAGGACACAGCUUGCUGAAAAGUGGGAGGCAAGUAAGAACAGCUGAGUGCAGACAGUGUUGACUUCUCUGUGGUCAUUUAAAUAGGCUGCUGCAGAUAGUUUAAGACAGGGUUAAGUGGGUGAGAUCCUUCUUCAGUUUUAACUUACACUGUUCAAUUAAAAGUCAUGAAAUAAUGUGGUCACUAGGAUGCCGACCAAGACAGACAGCACAGGGCAAGGGCAGGCCAGGGGAGCGUCUGCGAGGGUCUAAGGGGAAAGGUGUUGGAGGGAAGUCGGGGGGCUGAGCCCGGAAAGAAGCCCUUAGUCACACAGCCUGACACCAUCUUCAGGGUGGGGGUGCCCAGGCCAGGUGUCUGGGGGCUGCAGCGAGGCCCUCGUGACCGUACCCGUGGUCUCUGCAGUAGAGGAGAGUCCCCCUAAAGGGCUCCCCGCUGGCCAUCUGCAGAGCCAAGACAGGUGGGGGUCGCACUCCCCCAGGGCACAGCAGCGAGGCAGAGCCAGCGGCAGUGUUUGCCCCAGGACCACGGCCCAAACUCAGACAACCACCACCUUGGCAGACUGGGGACCCUGGUCUGGCCCACGUCUGCUUGCUUUUUACCUCUUUCCCAAAGUGUAAUAUACACACCCAAAGCCCAGAUGUUGGCGAGUGCUGCUCAGGGGUGGCCCCACCUGUGGACUUGGCUACCGGGUGGCCGCAGGGUGGUGGUAGGGUCUCUGUCCUUCAGGUCACCACACGUGCUGAGGCCAAGGGGAUGGGAGCUAUGACAGGCUGACCUGCGCCCCCAGCUCUUAUGUUGAAGCCCCGUCCCCAGGAGGCUGUGUCUGGAGGGCAGGCCUUUACAUCGGUCAUUAAAAUACAAGGAGGCGGUACGAUGGUCCUGACCCGCUCUGACUGGGUCCUUACAAAAGGAGACAUAAAGACACAGAUGUGUGCAGAGGAUGGCCCAGGGAGGACCGUGGUAGAGACGGCCUCUGCAGGCCUAGGAGAGAGACCUUAGGAGGAACCAGCCCUGCACACACCUUGAUCUUGAUCUUCUAGCCUCCACCGUGAGAAAGAAAUAUCCGCUGUUGGAGACCCCGCCUGUGGGGUUUUGCUGCGGUGGCCAAGCUAACCGUGCAAGAGGUGCGAAGGGGACGGAGUCUGGGGCACCUCCCAAGGCGGGGAAACUGCAGGGGAAGCUCAGGCAGCGGCAGCUGGGGAGGACUGAGUACAGACUUUUUUCCCCUGUUUGGCUUUUUCUUGCUGUUUAAGCCCUGAGACCCUAAGGGUGGAGGGGAG
rnacentral:lncRNA from 10 species